AUUGAACGCUGGCGGCAGGCCUAACACAUGCAAGUCGAGCGAGCGGCGGACGGGUGAGUAAUGCCUAGGAAUCUGCCUGGUAGUGGGGGAUAACGUCCGGAAACGGGCGCUAAUACCGCAUACCAUCAGAUGUGCCCAGAUGGGAUUAGCUAGUAGGUGGGGUAACGGCUCACCUAGGCGACGAUCCCUAGCUGGUCUGAGAGGAUGACCAGCCACCCUGGAACGGAGACACGGUCCAGACUCCUACGGGAGGCAGCAUGGGGUAAUAUUGCACAAGGGGCGCAAGCUUGAUGCAGUCAUGCCGCGUGGGUGAAGAAGGCCUGCGGGUUGUAAAGCACGUUCAGCGGGGAGGCUUUACCCGAAGAAGAAGCACCGGCUAACUCCGUGCCAGCCGCCGCGGUAAUAC
rnacentral:rRNA from 1 species